GGUGUAUAAAACUCAAAGGCGUAAUGAAAGUAAAGAUUGUGUGUUAUAUAAAAUUGAAUUGGAAUUUAUUUCGGCUCUCUUUUAUUUCACAUUUUUUUCAAGGGAAGAUGAAAAUUUUUAUAUAUACUUUGUUUCAUAUUUUAUGUGUAAUAAAUAUAUAUUUUAAAAUUUUUCGCAUUCCCGGGGCGCUUGUGUCACUAUUUGUGUGUCAAUGCGCACCUAGAGCGUACACGCUGAUACCCGAAAGAUGGUGAACUAUGCCUGGCCAGGACGAAGCCAGGGGAAACCCUGGUGGAGGUCCGCAGCGAUUCUGACGUGCAAAUCGAUCGUCGGAGCUGGGUAUAGGGGCGAAAGACCAAUCGAACCAUCUAGUAGCUGGUUCCCUCUGAAGUUUCCCUCAGGAUAGCUUGCGCUCGAUUUUAAAGAGUCUCAUUUGGUAGAGCGAAUGAUUAGAGGCAUUGGGGUCGAAACGACCUCAACCUAUUCUCAAACUCCAAAUAGAUGAGAGCCCCGGCUUUCUUAAAAUUGAAGCCGUGGGAAUAGGAUCA
rnacentral:rRNA from 1 species